rnacentral:rRNA from 1 species
UACGUAGGGUGCGAGCGUUAAUCGGAAUUACUGGGCGUAAAGCGUGCGCAGGCGGUUUUGCAAGCCGGAUGUGAAAUCCCCGGGCUCAACCUGGGAAUGGCAUUUGGGACUGCAAGGCUCGAGUGCGGCAGAGGAGACUGGAAUUCCUGGUGUAGCAGUGAAAUGCGUAGAUAUCAGGAGGAAUACCGAUGGCGAAGGCAGGUCUCUGGGCUGACACCGACGCUCAUGCACGAAAGCGUGGGGAGCAAACAGG